rnacentral:rRNA from 1 species
GACGAACGCUGGCGGCGUGCCUAACACAUGCAAGUCGAGCGAGAAUCUAUCAAUUGAUUCCUUCGGGAUGAUUUUGAUAGAGGAAAGCGGCGGACGGGUGAGUAACGCGUGAGUAACCUGCCCUUCAGAGGGGGACAACAGUUAGAAAUGACUGCUAAUACCGCAUAACAUGUUUUAUCGCAUGGUAGAAACAUCAAAGAUUUAUCGCUGAAGGAUGGACUCGCGUCUGAUUAGAUAGUUGGUGAGGUAACGGCUCACCAAGUCGACGAUCAGUAGCCGAACUGAGAGGUUGAUCGGCCACAUUGGGACUGAGACACGGCCCAGACCU